rnacentral:rRNA from 1 species
AACGUAGGAGACGAACGUUAUCCGGAGUUACUGGGCGUAAAGGGCGUGUAGGCGGUUUGUUAGGUCUGGCGUGAAAGCUCUCGGCUAAACCGGGAGAGGUCGUUGGAUACUGGCGAACUAGAGGAUGGUAGAGGCGUGUGGAAUUCCGGGUGUAGUGGUGAAAUGCGUAGAGAUCCGGAGGAACACCAGUGGCGAAGGCGACACGCUGGGCCAUACCUGACGCUAAAGCGCGACAGCAUGGGGAGCAAACGGG